AUACUUACCUGGCAGAGGAGAUACCAUGAUCACGAAGGUGGUUUUCCCAGGGCGAGGCUUAUCCAUUGCACCCCGGUUGUGUUGACCCCUGCGAUUUCCCCAAAUGUGGGAAACUCGACUGCAUAAUUUGUGGUAAUUGGGGGCUGUUGCUUUCCCGCUUUCCCCUG
rnacentral:snRNA from 1 species